UGGGGAAUAUUGGACAAUGGGCGAAAGCCUGAUCCAGCCAUGCCGCGUGUGUGAAGAAGGUCUUCGGAUUGUAAAGCACUUUAAGUUGGGAGGAAGGGCAGUAAGCGAAUACCUUGCUGUUUUGACGUUACCGACAGAAUAAGCACCGGCUAACUCUGUGCCAGCAGCCGCGGUAAUACAGAGGGUGCAAGCGUUAAUCGGAAUUACUGGGCGUAAAGCGCGCGUAGGUGGUUCGUUAAGUUGAAUGUGAAAGCCCCGGGCUCAACCUGGUAACUGCAUCCAAAACUGGCGAGCUAGAGUAGGGCAGAGGGUGGUGGAAUUUCCUGUGUAGCGGUGAAAUGCGUAGAUAUAGGAAGGAACACCAGUGGCGAAGGCGACCACCUGGGCUCAUACUGACACUGAGGUGCGAAAGCGUGGGGAGCAAACAGG
rnacentral:rRNA from 1 species